rnacentral:rRNA from 1 species
UGGGGAAUUUUGGACAAUGGGCGAAAGCCUGAUCCAGCAAUGCCGCGUGUGUGAAGAAGGCCUUCGGGUUGUAAAGCACUUUUGUCCGGAAAGAAAUCCUUGGCUCUAAUACAGUCGGGGGAUGACGGUACCGGAAGAAUAAGCACCGGCUAACUACGUGCCAGCAGCCGCGGUAAUACGUAGGGUGCAAGCGUUAAUCGGAAUUACUGGGCGUAAAGCGUGCGCAGGCGGUUUGCUAAGACCGAUGUGAAAUCCCCGGGCUCAACCUGGGAACUGCAUUGGUGACUGGCAGGUUAGAGUAUGGCAGAGGGGGGUUAGAAUUCCACGUGUAGCAGUGAAAUGCGUAGAGAUGUGGAGGAAUACCGAUGGCGAAGGCAGCCCCCUGGGCCAAUACUGACGCUCAUGCACGAAAGCGUGGGGAGCAAACAGGAUUAGAUACCCUGGGUAGUCCACGCCCUAAACGAUGUCAACUAGUUGUUGGGGAUUCAUUUUCCUUAGUAACGUAGCUAACGCGUGAAGUUGACCGCCUGGGGAGUACGG